CGUCGAUCUAGGGAGGUCUUAGCUUAAUUAAAGUGUUUGAGUUGCAUUCAGGAUAUGUGUUUUAAAGUCACACAGGCCUU
rnacentral:tRNA from 1 species